rnacentral:rRNA from 1 species
UACGUAGGGAGCGAGCGUUGUCCGGAAUUACUGGGCGUAAAGCGUCCGUAGGCGGCGAGGUAAGUCGCACGUGAAAGCCCCGGGCUCAACUCGGGUGAGUGCGUGCGAUACUGCCCCGCUUGAGUGCCGGAGGGGAGAGUGGAACGGUGCAAGUAGCGGUGAAAUGCGUAGAUAUGCAUCGGAACACCGGUGGCGAAGGCGGCUCUCUGGACGGUCACUGACGCUGAGGGACGAAAGCCAGGGGAGCAAACGGG